UGGGGAAUAUUGCACAAUGGGCGAAAGCCUGAUGCAGCGACGCCGCGUGCGGGAUGAAGGCCUUCGGGUUGUAAACCGCUUUUAAUUGGGAGCAAGCGAGAGUGAGUGUACCUUUUGAAUAAGCACCGGCUAACUACGUGCCAGCAGCCGCGGUAAUACGUAGGGUGCAAGCGUUAUCCGGAAUUAUUGGGCGUAAAGAGCUCGUAGGCGGUUUGUCACGCCUGGUGUGAAAGUCCAUCGCUUAACGGUGGAUCUGCGCCGGGUACGGGCAGGCUAGAGUGCAGUAGGGGAGAUUGGAAUUCCCGGUGUAACGGUGGAAUGUGUAGAUAUCGGGAAGAACACCAAUGGCGAAGGCAGAUCUCUGGGCUGUUACUGACGCUGAGGAGCGAAAGCAUGGGGAGCGAACAGGAUUAGAUACCCGUGGUAGUCCAUGCCGUAAA
rnacentral:rRNA from 1 species